rnacentral:rRNA from 1 species
UACGGGGGGGGCAAGCGUUGUUCUGAAUUACUGGGCGUAAAGGGCUCGUAGGUGGCCAACUAAGUCAGACGUGAAAUCCCCAGGCUUAACCUGGGAACUGCGUCGGAUACUGGAUGGCUUGAAUUCGGGAGAGGGAUGCAGAAUUCCAGGUGUAGCGGUGAAAUGCGUAGAUAUCUGGAGGAAUACCGGUGGCGAAGGCGGCAUCCUGGACCGACAUUGACGCUGAUGAGCGAAAGCUAGGGGAGCAAACGGG